rnacentral:rRNA from 1 species
GACGAACGCUGGCGGCGUGCUUAACACAUGCAAGUCGAACGGUGAAAGGGAGCUUGCUCCCUGGAUCAGUGGCGAACGGGUGAGUAACACGUGGGCAACCUGCCCCAGACUUCGGGAUAACGCUCCGAAAGAGGUGCUAAUACCGGAUACGAACUCCUUGGGCAUCCUUGGGGUUGGAAAGUUUUUCGGUCUGGGAUGGGCCCGCGGCCUAUCAGCUUGUUGGUGAGGUAACGGCUCACCAAGGCGACGACGGGUAGCCGGCCUGAGAGGGCGACCGGCCACACUGGGACUGAGACACGGCCCAGACUCCUACGGGAGGCAGCAGUGGGGAAUAUUGCGCAAUGGGCGAAAGCCUGACGCAGCAACGCCGCGUGAGGGAUGACGGCUUUCGGGUUGUAAACCUCUUUCAGCAGGGAAGAAGCGAAAGUGACGGUACCUGCAGAAGAAGCACCGGCUAACUACGUGCCAGCCGCCGCGGUAAAAC